GAAUUUUGGACAAUGGGCGCAAGCCUGAUCCAGCCAUGCUGCGUGAGUGAAGAAGGCCUUCGGGUUGUAAAGCUCUUUCGGCGGGGACGAAAUGGUCCGUGCUAAUACCACGGACUGAUGACGGUACCCGCCGAAGAAGCACCGGCUCAAUACGUGCCAGCAGCCGCGGUAAUACGUCGGGUGCAGGCGUUAAUCGGAAUUACUGGGCGUAAAGCGUGCGCAGGCGGUUUGUUAAGACAGAUGUGAAAUCCCCGGGCUUAACCUGGGAACUGCGUUUGUAACUGGCAGACUUGAGUGUGGCAGAGGGGGGUGGAAUUCCAAGUGUAGCAGUGAAAUGCGUAGAUAUUUGGAGGAACACCGAUGGCGAAGGCAGCCCCCUGGGCUAACACUGACGCUCAUGCACGAAAGCGUGGGGAGCAAACAGG
rnacentral:rRNA from 1 species